UGAACUUAAGCAGCGCUGGUGCGCAUGCUGAGCUCGUGAGCACGCCGAGCUCUUGCGCGCCUGGCCCACGCUAUCCCAGGUGUACGUUCCCCAUCGCUCUCACCUGCCCAAGUCUCGGGGCCGCUGGCAUGACGCCGGGGAGAGCUCAGAGCGAGGAGGAGAUGGUAGAGAUCACCCUCUACAUCUCCAACGGGAAGGCGCAUCUUACUACCCAGCAGAAAGAAGAAAAUCUCUCUGGGCCAGGACAGCCCAGGCACUGAGAAGCCUCCAUAUUUUGGACGCCCAGCUCCUCCAAUGGACUCCUCGGUUAUUACAGCCCCUCCAAACUACUCCUUUUCCCUAUAAUAGACUCAGUGGUCUCUGAGGAUGUGGCUGCGGACUUCACCUGGGCAGAGUGGGCUUUGCUAAGUCCUGUUCAGAGGAACUCUACAGAGAUGUGAGGCUUCGAACCUUCAGGAACUUGGCCUCAGCAGUGAGCUCCUGGGAGACGAAGACCUUAUUAAGGGUCACGGGUUACAGCCUGGAGAUAUUGGAAAAGACGUCAAAAAAGGGACUCUCUACAACCACGUUGGAAAGGACCAUACCAGCUACUCUUAACAAAUCCCUGGGGGGGGCAAAACUUAAAGGACUAAUCUCUUGGAGUCACGUCUCUCACCUCAGAAGGGCCUCCCCUCCUGAAUGGACUGGACUGCAACCCCUAUUUGUGACACCCCACUUGCACUAAGAGAGGCUCCGUCAGACCAGGAUGAGAGGAACACGACAGCAGUGGUAGACAGCCACCCCAAGAGUCCAGACCAGACCUGUAAGAAACCGCCUCUCUCCAUCAAAAUGGAAAGUUACGGGACUUCCCUGGCAGCCCAGUGGUUAAGACACCCCGCUUUCCCUGCAGGGGGCACGGGUUCCAUCCCUGAUCAGGGAACUAAGAUCCCGCAUGCCGCGCGGCACAGCCAAAAAAUAGAAAAAGAAAUGGAAAGUUACUGUUCUGUUUCUAGCUAUGUCCUUAGGCCAGUGUUUAGGGUGGAAAGAAAACUCUUUAGUAAAACGAUCACAAAGUAUAGGUACUGGGGGAGGUUAACUGAUUGCUGGAUUUGUCAUCAGAUUAAUCCGUCAGUGCAAGGCCGAUUAAACCCCUUGUAAUUCCUGCCACUGACUUUUCAGAUGUUUCUAAUGGUACCACUUACUGAGACACACCUCCCUCUGGCCUAACUUUUCAGGUUCAAAUUCUCCAAAACACUAAUAUGUCCGUCCCUUGACUGACACUAUCUUCGGUUCUUAGAGAUGGCACACAACUCACCCUAGGCCCCCCUCACUCUGUCCCUUACUUUUUUUUGGCCGUGCCGCGCAGCAUGCGGGAUCUUAGUUCCCCGACCAGGGAUCAGACCCGAGCCCCCUGCAGUGGAAGCACGGAGUCGUAACCACCGGACAGCCGGGGAAGUCCCCGUGUCCCGUACUUAAUUAACAGAGGUCUUAAAGAGAAAGAUACAAGUCACGUAUGCCAGCAACUCCCCCACCUCCAAUAUCAUACGGAUAGCUUUUGGAAAGUCUGCAAAAGAAAUGGCCCACGGUUUAAUACUGUGUUACGAGAACUUCCAGUUAACGAAGCCAUCAACAAAAGCCCUCUGGGAGGAGUCACUUGUGCUCCCCCAGGUUUUGUCUUCAUAUAUGGUAUUGGAACUGACCCACCUUCCCAAGGGUAUUCACAUAAAUGUGUGAAGAGCUGGCAAGUAGAAGGCGGGACGUUAUGUUACCCCAUUGUCUAUCCAAAAAGAGAGAUGGACCUCCUUUUUCUCCCCAUUACAGAGUCGGGAGAUCCAUGCGAGGAGGAUACCAAAGAAACCUGGUGGCAAAGUCUUUUCGGAAUCUUGGUUCCUAGCGCAGGAGUAUAUGUAAACAGCGAUACGCUUAGAAGCCUAUCAGCCACCAUUGGUCAGAUGGUUGAAGAGACUGCAAGAAGCACUGCAGCACAGCAGAAAUCCUUAGAUUCCUUAGCCCAAGUUGUGUGAGAUAACGGAAUUGCCUUAGAUCUCCUACUGCCCAAACAGGGAGGUGUUUGUGCUAUUGGCCACACGUGUUGCACUUAUGUUAACACCUCCAGAGGUUGAGACAUGCCCGGGUAAAAUUUUCCGAAGAGCAAAAUGGUUACAAGAUGUGAGAAAGAGUGAUCCUUCAAGUCAGCGGUCCCCAGUCUUUUUGGCACCAGGGACCGGUUUCAUGGAAGACAGUUUUUCCAUGGACCGGGGCGGGGGCAGGGAGGUAUGGUUCAGGCAGUGAUGCGAGCAAUGGGGAGCGGCAGAUGAAGCUUCGCUCACCUGCCCGCCACUCACCUCCUGCUGUGCGGCCCGGUUCCUAACAGGCCGAGGACUGGUAGUGGUCCGUGUCCCAAGGGUUGGGGACCCCUGCUUUAAGUGACCUUUUUAGUCAGCUACCCUCAGGACUAGGCAACAUUUUCCGCUUUGCUUUACAGACAAUGGUUACUAUACGCACUGCCAUUCUUUUCCUGGCUAUCAAAUUACUCGUGACUGUAUCACUGCUUGUUCUAAGUCUACGGCCAAAAGCACACCUACAAUGAUUGUACAACAAACUGAGAUGACUGAUCAAAUGUAUAAUCUAUAAAACUUGCCUUCAUCAGUGUAUUUCUAUGAUUACUGCAUUAAAUUACUAUGAUAAAAUAUAUAAUGAUGCUUAAACAAAUUGAAACUGCUGAUCAUUUCUAUAAUUCUGUAUAAGGUAACGGACAUACACAGUGCACAUAAAGUACAACUGGCCUCAGUCCUAUUGGACACCUUAGAAUUGGCUACCAGUCCUUGCCAAGCAUCCUACUAGUGCAUCCCCCUCCCCCCAAAAGAAAAAAAAAGGACCGGGCUCUCGAGACCCAGCAUGGAGGGACAUGAUGAAUCGGAGGCAGGUAAGCAACCACCUCGGCACCAAAGGACCAAAUAGUUGAUCAUCUAAUGCUUUCUAUCAAAAGAUUUAUGAUCUAAAGGGGGAAGGUGAUGAGGGAAAUCAUAAAUAUUUUAUGGCAGGACAAUCAAACUAAGAAAGAAAACAAGAAAACAAAUGACAUGCUCCCUUUGUGACAGGCUUUUCCCAGUGUUCAACUUUUCCCAGUGUUCAAUGUGCAUAUCUAUAUGAUACAUUAACCGGCUCUCCUCAAAGCAGCAGGAUGAAAUCAACCUUGAGAAAAACAUGACCCUUUCUUUAGACGCCAGCAUUUCAAUAUUGUAAUUCUAUGACUAAUAUAUCUCUUUUUCAUCUCAUACAAGGGUACAGGGGGUCGCACUGACCAAAGGCUUGUCUGUACAUGCAAUAUUAAGGGGGAAAAAAACCCCAACUUGUUGAUUGAGCUAUGUACACAGUGCUAACCUGUCAAUAUGAGACAUAAUUUGUCUCAAAAAUGUAUAAAACUGCAUCUCUGACUCCUGAUCAAUGGAGCCGUUUUCAGACUUUCUGAGAAUGUUUCCUGGGUUAUAAUCCUCAGUUUGACUCGAAUAAAAUUCUCUUUUCUUUUUUCUUAA